UUAGGAAUCCAAGGCAGGCCAACAUAUUGAAAUAAUAGCUACAAAACUCCUAACCUUCUUUGGGGGUCAUACACAGCAUACUAUACUUGGGAAUGGCAUUCUGACACAUUUAUUACAUAAUAAUGCUAUUAUAUGUAAUGCUAUUCUGACACAUUUGUUAGGUAACAUUAAUGGCUUUGAGUGGGACUUAGAACAAGAAAAGGCUCUGAAACAGAUCCAAGAUGUUGUUUGAGCCAUGCAACUAGAAGAUCUCAUAGAACUAAAGUUAUCUAAUUUACAGAAAAGGUUUUACGUGACGUCUAUUGUACAGAUUCAUAUGAAAACCAUAGUUCAAACUCCAAGGUUUAAGAAGUAAGAAAGAUCAUGCCAUUUGCAACAAACAUGCAUGCAUAUUUGAAAAGCAACUGUAAGUAUGCUAUUGGACAUUGGUAAAGAUUGAAUAUCUGACCAUGGCAUAUCAAGAAACCAUGGAAUGAGUACUGCUUAUCAAGAUCUGGGUGUGAGAAGACUUAAAAAGUCAGAUAGUCAGUGAGAACCAGCUAGAAUCCAUGAAAUUGUGACCAAUAAGAAUCCCAGAGAAGUUCUGCCCUAAUGGAGUCAACUUGAUUUGAGAUGCAAAUAGAUUUGCGCAAUUGAAAAAGUGGGAAGAUGAAGUGUUUGGAGGGCUUUUAAAUGGAGUAAAAUGGAAACAAAGACAAGUUAUCCCAACACCAAAAAGAGUAGGGGAUAGAAGGAUAUGUCAAGGUUUGAAAACCAUCCUUCAGAAAUGCAGGAAAGUCAAAGCUAGAAAUCUGUUGUGGGAAAACUAGAAGACCAAAAAAAGCACGAAAGUCAAGAAAGAAGUCUCUUUUCACAUGAAAGUGGCUGUGCUAAUGGUCUAUCAAGAUAUCCUGAGUUUCCAGUAGAGAUGUUUCAGCCAUAACACAGGCCUGGUAGAAAAAGCCUGAAGACAAAUACUGCUAUGAAUGGUUACAUCUAGGACUUCUGAAAUUAGCCCCAGAUUCAACUCAUUUUUUUCUGCAUUUGCUGAGCAAUAUGACAUGUUUACACCGAUUAGCUAAAAAGUUAUGUGAAGAAUGGGCAACAAUAUCUCUAA
rnacentral:lncRNA from 1 species